CCUACGGGUGGCAGCAGUGGGGAAUAUUGGACAAUGGGCGAAAGCCUGAUCCAGCCAUGCCGCGUGUGUGAAGAAGGCCUUCGGGUUGUAAAGCACUUUCAGUGGGGAAGAAAGCCUUGGGGCUAAUACCCUCGAGGAAGGACAUCACCCACAGAAGAAGCACCGGCUAACUCCGUGCCAGCAGCCGCGGUAAUACGGAGGGUGCGAGCGUUAAUCGGAAUUACUGGGCGUAAAGCGCGCGUAGGCGGUCUGAUAAGCCGGUUGUGAAAGCCCCGGGCUCAACCUGGGAACGGCAUCCGGAACUGUCAGGCUAGAGUGCAGGAGAGGAAGGUAGAAUUCCCGGUGUAGCGGUGAAAUGCGUAGAGAUCGGGAGGAAUACCAGUGGCGAAGGCGGCCUUCUGGACUGACACUGACGCUGAGGUGCGAAGGCGUGGGUAGCAAACAGGAUUAGAUACCCUAGUAGUC
rnacentral:rRNA from 1 species